AGUGUGGAGACAGAAGAGAAAGGGGAGUGAAGAGAAAUAUCCUUGAGAAUAAAACAGUUGGAAGGAGCAAUGAUUUAUCUUUCCAUAGGGGGAAAUAGGGAGAAGGAGAGAGUAAAUUAAGAAGAGAGGAUGGGAAGAAUUUUACAGGUUGAUCCUGGAUUGGGAAGUUUCCAGACUGGAAUGAUUACAGUCGAAAGAAGCUUUUCUCCUUAUUCUUCCUGAAGCCAGCGCACCGACUUCUCUCUUUUAAAACAAUAGCAUUACACCUUGGAUUAAUGUUAUAAAGCCCAGAGAUCUUCAGACUGAGGCCUGCAUAUCCCAGCCUGUUCUCUCAUCUAUGUGAGGUCUUUUCUUACCCUGGUCAUGGAGUGGACAAGAUGGAUGAAAGAGGGACAGGAAGAGGAGGUGGGGUGAGGAUGUGGUACUAGAGGGUUAGCUGCCCAAAUAGCUCAAGUUUCAUCACAAAGUUAAAAGACGUUAUCAGAAAUGCCAUGUCCAGACUGCUUUGCAUUACACUUUUUUCCCCCGCUUCAUAUGACGGAUCCUUCCAACAGCUAUUGCUUCUGUGGUUGCUGUGUUUGGCCAGCUUGAAAAAGAGCAUAGAAAGAUUGGGCAAAGCAUCCAGCUGCUAACCAGAGGCAAAACAGACGGAACCGCAAUGAGGGGCCAAAGAGAAAGCCAGGGCAACCACUUCACUUCCCCUUCACUUCGCAGAGAGACAGCCACUCCAUAAGCAGCACUUUUUUCGAAGAUAAAUCUCAUCUCUAAUCCGGAUGCAGAGCAGUGUCUUGUGCAAAGGAAAGGAAGCCCCGACACCACCCUGAUGACACCCACAUAAAUCACAGGUUUUAUCCCUCUGCUGUGAGGGGCCUUACAGAUCGGAGCAACGUUGCAGACUCUCAUUGGGUGAUGCUUCAUUACUUGGUGAAAAAUCCCCAGGGCCGAAACGUUAUUUAAAUGUGCUGUGAAAAUAAAUGUGAUUUA